CUCUGAUUCUGACGAGGAUGUUGGUGAGCCAGAGGAGCCAGAGCCAGAGCCAGCUGUGUCCAGCACUGCUUUUGCUCAUCCAAGAGGACCCAGUGAUAUUUCAAGAUGCAAAGAGGAGGGUCCAGUUCAGCCGUGUGUGACACAAUUCCCUAGAACUCAGCAUGGAUCAAGGAAGAGAGCAUUCUGCAGUGCCUGGUACAGAACCAAUUCUUGGCUUGAAUACUCCAUCCUUAAGGACUCUUCCUACUGCUUUGCGUGUAGACAUUUUUCCCUGCCUAAUGCACCAGACUCUGCCUUUGCCUCAGAGUCAGGCUUCUCCAAUUGGAAAAAGGCGUUGUCAAAGGAGGCUGGGUUUAAACUCCACUCAAAAUCAGAGAUGCAUGUCAAUGCAAUGGGGGCCCACGAGGACCAGGAUUGAGAAACACUGGUCUAAGUAAAGCAUAGUGAAGAACUUAGUCAUGACCAGAGACACUAUCUAAGUGCCAAACUACCUUAUGCAAGUUCAAAAAAGCAUAAUCCUUCAGUUGUGGUGAGAAGUCGCAAAAUGUUUCACAAAGUCAUCUAUGUUAAGGGCACGUGCCCUCCUUGACUCAAUACUGAGAGUUCCAAGGUGACUUAACCUGUCAUCAGCCAUUGUUGUCCUGAGGUGAGUUUUAAUAAGUUUUAAGCCAGAGAAGCUUCUCUCACAGGAAGCAGUGCUGAUUGGAGUGACAACAGCAAUCUUGCAAAGUCUGAAUAUCUCAUGGAAAACCUCUUUGUAAGGUUCAAGAAACACAAUAAAAUCAAGCAAAGUA